ACAAACUUGGUCAUUUAGAGGAAGUAAAAGUCGUAACAAGGUUUCCGUAGGUGAACCUGCGGAAGGAUCAUCAAUAAAUCCAAUUUAUUCACCCUUGUGAACUGUGUGCUGGACUCGUCGCGUUCGCGCGUGGGUCUUUGGGCGCGUUGUGGCCGUGGAGUCGUUAGUUUUCUAAUGUCUCGUUGGCCUGCGUCUAGCAAAAACUCCUUAAUUAAAACAAGCUAAUGCAAUUUCUAUAAAUGAAACAACUUUCAACAAUGGAUCUCUUGGCUCUCGCAUCGAUGAAGAACGCAGC
rnacentral:misc_RNA from 1 species